rnacentral:RNase_P_RNA from 2 species
UGAGCAGCACAAGUGACCGCGCCCAUUCAGACGAAAGGGAAUGGGUGAGGAAAGUCCGAGCUUCACAGGGCAGGAUGCCGGAUAACGUCCGGUGGAGGCGACUCCCAGGCUAGUGCAACAGAAAUAGNNNNNNAGGCGGAGGCAAACAAAAAUUAACCGCCACGGCUUUGCCCGUGGUAAGGUUGGAAUGGCGAGGUAAGAGCUCACCGCCUCUCUGGUAACAGGGAGGGCAUAUGUAAACCCCAUCCGAAGCAAGACCGAACAGGAAGCAAUACGGCGGCCCGUCGUGCUUUCGGGUAGGUCGCUAGAGCCUGUUGGCAACAGCAGGUCCAGAUAGAUGGUCACUCAACGACAGAACUCGGCUUAUCGUGCUGCUCAUAUG